GUUUGACAGACAAUCGCUGGUAGCCUAGAUGCUACGAGAGGAAAGUCCGGGCUCCGCAUGGCAGGAUGCUGGAUAACGUCCAGUCGGCGCAAGCUGAAGGAUAGUGCCACAGAAAUGGACCGCCGAUGGCUGACUUAUUUGUCAGAUCAGGUAAGGGUGGAACCGUGGUGUAAGAGACCACGAGGGGCGUGGGUGACUACGUUCCUGGUAAACCCCAUCUGGAGCAAAACCGAGAGAAUACAGUAGCUUCGAGCUACAGCCUUAGCCUGAGGCGCGUUCGGGUGAGUUGCUUGAGCCAUAUAGCAAUAUAUGGCCUAGAUAGAUGAUUGUCGCUUGUAGUGGGAGGGUCGUUCCCGUUAUGACCACUUACAGUACAGAACCCGGCUUACGG
rnacentral:RNase_P_RNA from 1 species